rnacentral:rRNA from 1 species
CAGUAGCCGCGGUAAAACGUAGGUGGCGAGCGUUGUCCGGAAUCAUUGGGCGUAAAGGGAGCGCAGGCGGGCAUGUAAGUCUUUCUUAAAAGUUCGGGGCUCAACCCCGUGAUGGGAAAGAAACUACAUGUCUUGAGUACAGGAGAGGAAAGCGGAAUUCCCAGUGUAGCGGUGAAAUGCGUAGAUAUUAGGAAGAACACCAGUGGCGAAGGCGGCUUUCUGGACGAAAGCUGACGCUGAGGCGCGAAAGCCAGGGGAGCGAACGGGAUUAGAUACCCCUGUAGUCCUGUCUCUUAUACAC